GCCCAUUUGGCCAAAUGGUAAGGCGUCGCACUCGUAUAAUAAGGUGAAAUGCGAAGAUCAGCUGUUCGAUUCAGCUAAUGGGCA